rnacentral:rRNA from 1 species
CCUGUGGCUGGAUCACCU